rnacentral:misc_RNA from 1 species
GUCGCUUUUGAUGCCCAUAAAACAAAGGAUACUGACAAGCACUUGAAAGAAAUGCAUUAGGUUAGGCCAAGUUAUUUCUAUAAUAAAAUUGCCCAGCAAUUGAACUCAAUAUCACCAUCAGAUAUAAAGCAAAUACACACAUACAAGUAAAAUUCAACAACCUUGUAGCCUAGGGUUUCCUUCAUUUUCUAAAGAGUUCUCUCUAAAGUUCCAUCAGCCUUCUAUACCCUUCGGCCACAAAAAUACGCUGCAUUAAUCUAACUACAAACAUUCCAAUCCCCAUUUUUGUAUUGUAUUGAAUUAGAAUGCAUUUAAUAAAAAUAAAAUCACAAACGAGGAACAAUAGUAAAUACACAUUGUACACUUGGAAUUACAUAGUAUAAAAAGAAAAUCCUCAUAUAAGAACAUAAAGAACAGAGAAGAACCUGUU